GACGAACGCUGGCGGCGUGCUUAACACAUGCAAGUCGAACGGUAAGGCCCUUCGGGGUACACGAGUGGCGAACGGGUGAGUAACACGUGGGUGAUCUGCCCUGCACUUCGGGAUAAGCCUGGGAAACUGGGGCUAAUACCGGAGAGGACCACUGCCUGCAUGGGUGGUGGUGGAAAGCUUUUGCGGUGUGGGAUGGGCCCGCGGCCUGUCAGCUUGUUGGUGGGGUGAUGGCCUACCAAGGCGACGACGGGUAGCCGGCCUGAGAGGGUGACCGGCCACACUGGGACUGAGAUACGGCCCAGACUCCUACGGGAGGCAGCAGUGGGGAAUAUUGCACAAUGGGCGCAAGCCUGAUGCAGCGACGCCGCGUGAGGGAUGACGGCCUCCGGGUUGUAAACCUCUUUCAGCACCGACGAAGCGCAAGUGACGGUAGGUGCAGAAGAAGGACCGGCCAACUACGUGCCAGCCGCCGCGGUAA
rnacentral:rRNA from 1 species